UGUCUUAAGAAUGGUCAAAGAGGCAUUUAGCCCUAUUUCUCAUUUUUUUCUCUUAUCCCACUGGUAGCUCUCUUUCUCUCGCUAGCCUCCAUUUUUCUUUUUCUUUUUUCUAUCAAACUUCAAUCCUAGAUUUCUCCUUCACCACUUGAUAUUUUUGGAAGCCGUUUGCAGCAAAUUGAAGCCCACGACGAAAUCUACGAGUUGAUUGGAGCCAAUUUUCAUUUUGGCCACCAUUUGGGAGAUCUUUAAUCAUAGGGUUUGAGGUGAAAAUUGGGGCUUUUUAUCCAUUUAGAGGGCUCGGAAAAGAAGUGGCGGAUGACAAUCUCCCGUAAGCUUGAAGAAGAUUAGGAGUUGUAUUUCGUUAUCUUUUGUAUCUUAGCCCUUUUUUUUUUUUUUUUUUUUUUUUUUUUUUUUUUUUUUUUUUUUUUUGCA